rnacentral:lncRNA from 1 species
GGGCCCGGGGGGCCCGGAGCAGUUUCCAGUGGCCAGGGGUACGCGCGGCCGGAGGGGCGCCGGGGCCGUACUCACCGCGGCCGUUCUGGUUGGGCCGGUACACGCUGCCCACGCUGAGGCGGCCCUGCUGCGCGCCGUUCCGCUCCCCACCCGGCGGGGGCGUGUCGGAGCUGCGCACCGGCAGGAGCUCCUGCCUGCCUGGAUGAAGAGGAGGUCAAGACUUUGUCCCCCACUCCGCAAGAUACCCUCUCUGUUCCGGAGCGGUGGGUCCCUCCCCUGUUAGGACCUUGUCUCCCUCAGGACUGGACCUGGAUCCUGGGCCUGCAGUCAGAUUGCCAGUUUCACUUAGAGGUGGAAAUGUCAACCCACUGGUUGGAAUGGGAAGGUAGGGUGUGGGGUCGGGGAGUACCUUCAUUUCUAUCUGCCCAGGAGGCCAGCCGCUUCCUGCAUAGCAUUUCCUUCCUGCAGUAUGGGAAGGACCAGGCUUUCUCAGACCACAGAAUCUUGAGAGCCAUUUCCACGUGGAGCAAGUGGUGGCUACCAGCCUUGGGUCUACAUAACUAGGGCCUCAUCCCUGGCCCAAGAAUCCUGCUCCACAGCCUUCUUGUGUCCCUGUAGGAGGAGAAACACCUGGCAACUUAAAUUUUUUAAAAUAACUUUUUUUUUUUUUUGAGACGGAGUCUCGCUCUGUCUCCCAGGCUGGAGUGCAGUGGUGCGAUCUCGGCUCACUGCAAGCUCCGCCUCCCAGGUUCAUGCCAUUCUCCUGCCUCAGCCUCCCAAGUAGCUGGGACUACAGGCACCUGCCAUCACGCACGGCUAAUUUUUUUGUAUUUUUUUAGGUGAGACAGGAUUUCACCAUGUUAGCCAGGAUGGUCUUGAUCUCCUGACCUCAUGAUCUGCCCACCUCGGCCUCCCAAAGUGCUGGGCUUACAGGCGUGAGCCACCGUGCCCGGCCAAAAAUAACUUUUAAAAACAUGAGUAUAGCAUACACACACACAAAAGUCCACAAAUCCUAGGUGUACCACUUGAUGAAUGAUCCCAACGUGAGCACACCUCUGGAUUACCACCUGGAUCAAGAAAUAGGACAUCACAGCAGCUGGCAGCUUCCAAGGAGAAGCUCUGGAAAGUUCUGCCUGUCUCAGCACCUGGCUGGAUCGGAAACGAGUUUUCUUUAACCAGAUUUUUAAUGACUGACUUAUGUGGACAAAUCAUAACUGAAUGAAUCACCUCCUUUGUUGAUUUUUUUGGGUACUUUAUUUGCUAUUAUAAAUGAUGCUGUAAUAAGCACCCUUGAAGAAAUCUUCAUAUCUGCCUCUCCUGUGUAGCAGGUCACAGUGCCUGGGUUUGGUUCUAGCCCUCAUUUGUGAACUGUGUGACUCACCAUGCCUUUUUUCUUUCUGUAAGACAGGAAUAAUGGUAAGAAUUUAAAUGGGGGUAAUAUGGAGCGCGUUUAGUUCAGAGCCUGGUGCAUACAAGCACUCAAUAAGUACUGGCGAUUAUUAGACCUUUAGAUUAAUUUAUUAGAAGUUGGAUUUCUGGUGAAAGGGUUUGAGUGUUUUUGAGGCUUUGGCACAGAAUACCCAGCUGGUCCCAGAAAGGUGGUUCCCAUUUACCUGCCCGAAGGUAAUUCACCCUUACUGAUACUGAGUACUGUUUUCUAAAAGAACAUUAAAAAUUGGAUAGGUUAAAAACAGGUGAAUACAUUUUUUUAGUUGCAUUUUUUUGGUUACCCGUGAGAGUGAACAUGUUGCCAUGUGUUUGCUGACCUCCUAAAUGGUCUAUUUGCUCCUACCUUUGUACCCCAAAAGUCUGCUCUCAAGAUGGUAGCCAGAAUGAUCCUUUUUGAGACAUAAGUCAAAAUUUCACUCUUCUCCUUAAAGCUCUGCAAUGGUUCUCAGGUUAAAAGCCAAAGUCCUGUUCAAGGCCUCCAGGGUCCUCACCACUUGGUCCCUUGCUCUUUCUGUUCUAGCCAACUUGGCCUUCUCCUGCCCCUCCGCCGCACCAUGGCAAUUUCCCCUGCUCUGUGUGGUCAACUACCUGAAUCUGUUCAAAGCUUUGCUCAAAUGUCUCCUUCCUGAUGAGACCUCCCCAGCCCCUGAGCUCCCCAUGCCUCACUCCUGAUCGCCUUACUUAACCCUUCUUUUUCUUUUUUGCCAGUAGUACUUAUCACCGUCUAAAAUACUUCAUAAUUUACUUGUUUAUUGUUUGCCCCUCUCCAAUAGAAUGUAAGCUCCUUGGGGCAGGGACCUUUGUCCUUUGUCUUGUUCACUGCUGUGUCCCAUGUGUAAACUUGUCUGGCACAGAAGAGGUGCUCGAUAAAUAUUUGUUGAGUGAAUGAAUGGUAAAUUUUCUGUUCAUAUUCUUUGACUAUUUUCUAUUGUAAUGUUCAUCUUUUUAGUAUUGGUUUAUAAGAUGUAUAUUUAGCACCUUUUCAUAUAUCACUCUUUGUCACAUAUUAUGCAACUAAUUUGUCAUUUCCAUCAAUUUUUAAAAUACUUUCUUGAUGCUUCAUUUUUAAGCUGUCAGAUUAUUAAUCUUUUCUUUAUGGUCUUGGACUUUAUUGUUGCAUAACCGCUGCCUUCACCAGGAACAUAUAAAUUUUCAAUUAAAUGUUCUUCUGAGAUUUUAUGAUUUCACUUUUUAUAUUAAACUCUUCAUUUUGUCUUCAUGUGUGGUGAGAGGUAAGAACAUAACUUUAAAGCAAAUUAACCAACUAUCCCCAAAUGAAUUAUAAAUAAAUUAAUCAUUUUCCAAUGAUCUGAAAGGCCAUUUUAUCAUACACUAAAUAUUUUUGUGUGUUUGACUGGGUUUACCGUUCUGUUCCGUUGGCCUAUCACAUCGUUCUUACAUUGGUAUUUGUUGCCCUAUUUUAAUGAUUGUAACUUUUUAAUAAGGGUUAAUGACUGAGAAUACAAGUCCCAUUGUUUUGUUUUAUUAUUUUUAUUAUUUUUUUGAGACAGGGUUUCACUCUGUCACCCAGGCUGGAGUAUAGUAGCACUAUCUCGGCUCAUUGCAACCUCUGCCUCCCUGGUUCAAGUGAUUCUCCCACCUCAACCUCCCGAGUAGCUGGGACUACAGAUGCAUGCCACCACACCCAGCUAAUUCUUGUAUUUUUAGUAGAGACAGGGUUUCACCAUGUUGACCAGGCUGGUCUUGAACUCCUGGCUUCAAGUGAUUCACCUGCCUCGAC